GGGUUGUAAAGCUCUUUCGCACGCGACGAUGAUGACGGUAGCGUGAGAAGAAGCCCCGGCUAACUUCGUGCCAGCAGCCGCGGUAAUACGAAGGGGGCUAGCGUUGUUCGGAAUUACUGGGCGUAAAGGGCGCGUAGGCGGUUUAUCAAGUCAGGCGUGAAAGCCCCGGGCUCAACCUGGGAAUUGCGUUUGAUACUGGUAGACUUGAGUUCGGGAGAGGUGAGUGGAAUUCCCAGUGUAGAGGUGAAAUUCGUAGAUAUUGGGAAGAACACCGGUGGCGAAGGCGGCUCACUGGACCGAUACUGACGCUGAGGCGCGAAAGCGUGGGGAGCAAACAGGAUUAGAUACCCUGGUAGUCCACGCCGUAAACGAUGUGCGCUAGACGCUGGG
rnacentral:rRNA from 1 species